CAGAAGCCAGAGGCCAGGCCGGCCGGUAGGGCGUCGGGUUGGCCGGGCUCGCCCGCCCCGCUCCCUUCUCCUGCCAGCCAGAGGGGCUUGCUCAGAAGGUGAGCUGCCAAGGUAAAGGUUGCUGCGUAACUCAAAGGGACUAGGAACCUCCAGCCUGUACUUUGCAGUCCCAGUCCUUUCCCAUUUUGAUGGAGCCAUCUGAGUAGGAUGGGGAUUGGAGCAGAGGAUCAGUAUUUCUAUUUCUGACUCAAAAGUUAGACCAAAGACUUGUGGGAUGGAAACAAACCUGCUUGCUUCUGCAUCUGCACAGAGCUGUGUUACCUGUGAGGUCACCAGAAGAGACCAUGAACAGGCCCUAGAGCCCUCUUUCACUUUUACUCAGAUUCAAUGUGCCCUAGUGUUUGGAUGAAGUGCCCCUGCCCCCAGGAGACAACCCUACCUUCUGGGCAGCGAUGCCAUCGGACUUGGGAUAGGUCUCUCCCUUGGCAGACGUCUUACUGCUGCAACCUGAAGAUCCUGAAUGAGGACAGAAAAGAAGCUUGUGAAAGUGAAGAGAAUGUGGCACCAUUGUUGUUUUAUUAACAUUGAGGCUCAGCUAAGCAGCUAAAGUGUGUAUGUAGAAAUUCGGUCUAUGGUUGUGAGCAGUUGAGCCAUGAAACAUUUGGGAGGAGUUUUUUAUAUAAAAAAGAAAGGAAAAUCCCGGGAGCAGGGGGAGAGGGAAUUGGCCAGCUUGAGCCCCUAUAGUACCCUGGAGGGAUGUAUACCUUGAUAUUAAAAAGCUCUUGCCCCCACACUUCUAAAGAAGUACUGGGUCCUUUAGCACUAUUUAGACAGCACAGAAACAUUUCAGAAAGGGGG